AAAAAAUAUAUAUUAUACAUAUAAAGAUGGGAAAUACAUAUAAGUUGGGAUAUAUAAUUUUGACACAUAAUUGCUAUUCAGCAAUGAAUCUCAGUUCUGAUGUUAUUGACAAAUGCCUACAAAGUCGGCCUUUAGUAUGUGGUCUGCGUUAUGGAAAAUUUAACUCUAAGAAACUGAGCUAUGAGGCAUUUUUGUUAACUCACUCCUCUUAACUCCUAACUCUUGACGUGCCUCUCUGAUAUCAAAUGAUUAACUGCGUGCCUCUCUGUUAUCAAAUGCUCGAGUGACUGUAUUGAACACUCCUGAAAAAUGUAAUAUAUUUAUAUCAAUUGUUGAUUUGUAAACCUUCUUUAACUUGGUGGUAGAUAUUCCAAAUGGUUUUGAUUUUUGACGUUGUUAGCUUAUGAAACUGCAAGUCCUUUUUGUUCUGAUCAGUGUCAGACUGAGAUGAAUUGAUUACAGGCCUUUAAAUUGCUGCAAAAUCCUCUAGGUUCUUUGAAUAUCUUGGAUGGGCUUCUAGAGCACAAGAAUUUCAUUGCACUAUCCUCCCACUCUUUCCCACAUGCUAAAACCACUGGUUAUUUUCUUGUUCUGGUUCCACUUAUAGCAUUUUGCAUUAGAUGCAUAAUUGCUGCCUUUCACACUAGAGCUGCUGGAGAGGUGAGAUCUCAGGUUGUAAGUGAAUCAGAGGGACGACAUCCUGGGUGUAGAAGCGUGCGGUGGAAAUCUGCCCUGAGUGACAUAAGGGAAACAGAUAAUUUGGAUGCUGAGUCAAGUCCACUGUCCUAUAGCGAUUCAGAUGAUCAAUCUCAAGCUUCUAUCGAAGAGGUGUCACAUGCUUACAGCAAGCUUGAACAGGAUUACCAGAAAUUUCUAUCAGAAUGUGGAAUGAGUGAAUGGGGUUAAUGGCGUGGAGGUUCUCCUGAAUUAACCAUUCUGGUGCUUUAAUUUCACUGUCAUUAUCCUUUAGUCUUCUAUGAUGAGCCACAAGCUAUGGAAUCCCUAAGAGCAGUAGCAUGAACCUCUUCUUGUUUGUGUUUUUUCUUCUUUUCUUUUUCAAUUGUACAGGUUUUAGAUAUAAUGUAAAUUAUAAUGCUAGGAUAUAUAGGAUUAGAUUUCAAAUUAAUUACAUUUUUUCAGCCCCCGAGUUGUUUAAGUUUCAGCUUGUAGUUUUUGUAUACCAGAAGAUUGUUGGAAAAGGUUUUGUUACUGAAAAAAUUGAAUGUAAAAGAUACAAUUAUACCAAUUUUUGGGUCCCCCUUAAGGCACUUACAAUU